UCAGCCAUUCUGUGUCACCAAUGAAGAAACCAAGGCUCAGAGAGGCUUCUGGUCCCAGGUAUGUCACCAGGAAGUGACACCUCCACCCCUAGGACUGUAGCUGAUGAUGGGUACCACUCAGGCACGUGGAUGUAGCUAACAGGAUCAAGGAAGGACAAAGAGACCUUUCCCAGAAGCUGAUCCUCCCAGCCAGAGAAGCCGUUAGCACUGGGGAGCUGAGACUACUGUGAAGUGUAGGGCCCUCUCCCGUUGGGAAGGAGGAAUGUCCAGGCCAGCACAGCACUAGGGCCUUCUUCUGGGACCAAGUCACAUGAAGGGAAAGCAAAUCGCCUGGACACAGUUUCCACUGUCCUGCCUUCUGGCCUCAGCCCUGCCUCUCCUCUACUGAAGCAUCUGUCACACUAGGUCGCCUCUAUCCUUUUGCCUGACUUCCCCACCCAACAGAACCUGAAGAGCAGGAAGCAUAUGUAUUCAUCUCUGGAUCUCCAGUGCCUAGCACAGGGCCAGCCACAAAACAGACAACCAAAAACUGUUUAAAGAAUGCAGUGAAAUUAAUCAACAGAAGUGAAGUAGUUCUUGGUCUUCUGUCAACAAGGGGUGACCAAUUAGAAAAUGAAUCCUGUCAUUCAACGAAGCCAAGGACAUGCCUAGGCAUCGCCCUGACAUCUCCUAUAGCGCCCAUGCCUUGAGGUUGUGGGACUUCACUCAAACCUCAAAAAUGUCUCAGAACAAAAAAGAUUCCAGUGGUCAGAGAGGCAUGAGCCUUGAUCAUAUCAGAGAUUCCCCAGCUUGGGUUAUCUUUGAAAAGACUUCAAUUCAGAGCAGAGAUUAAUUGGUAACAUUUCUCUAUUUUCAUGUCUCCUUCAUGAUUACACUUUCCCAAAGGGGAAAGAGUACGCAAUUAAAACAAUCAAAGUUCAAUGCAUUUUUAUGUGACUGUGUUCUUAUAAAUGAAAGUGGUUCACCAAGGCCAAUUUCUCCAUGGAUAUUAAUCAGGUUUGCAGCCCUUUGGUGGGCCACUUGCAGAGGCUGGGUUUCAGGAAGCCAAGCUGUGUGAGUGACAAACUCAUUCACAGCUGCUGUGUUCUUUGACAGCUUUGAAAAGCACUCAAGGUCAUUUUCCAGCCUGAAUGAUAACGAGGGGGCUUGUUUAGGCUGCUGGUUUUGGCAGCCCUGGUUUCCGUGUCCCACGGGUGAGCAAUGAGCAUCAAGUCACCAAGAAGAGCCCUAGGCUGUCAGCAAAGGAGACCAGCCAGUGUCGAGGAGCUGCCAACUCUGGGAAGGCAGCUGCUCCAAAUAAAUGCACAACCUCUUAGGGAAAUACAAGCCACUUGGGAAUUUGCUGUUCAUGCCAUGGGAAGGAUUCUGUUUCCCUGACACUGUCAAAGCCACCAGAAUUUCCCAGGCCCCCAGGAUUUAAGCAUUUCUGAAUCAAUCUCUUUCUUCACCUCAUCACUAAUUAAUCACCAUGAUAGAUCUAUUGAGUGUGUUUAUUUGAAAUGUCUCUUCCAGCUCAGUGGCUUUGCAGCCUAGUGGUGAAGUGCUUAGGCUAUGGAUCCAAGGGGCCUGUCUCGAGUUCUGAUUCCACCACUCACACCUUAUGAUAGCUGUGACUUUGAAAAAGUGGCAACAUUCCAGCCUGAGUUCCUUGUCUAUAAAAUGGAGCUGAUAAUGGUAUUCACCUCACAGUGUGGCUAUCAGGAACAAACAAAAUAACAACACAUAAAUUGCAUAGCACAAUGUCUGAUACACAGGCCACUCCCAGUGAAUGCUGGAGCUUGUUUCUCAUUAUUAUAGCUGUUCCCCUUUCUCCAUCCCUUAAGACACAGGCUGGGUCAGGGGUGAUAAGG